UCCUUCUCUCUCUAGAACUAUUCUCUUGCCCUAACCCAAGUUCUCUGCCUUCUCUCUAGAUUUCCAGUAAAUCCCAUUGUUCAAAUCUUGUUUUGGUGUUGCCAAAUCGUUCCUGGCAUAGAGAGCUCCACUUCUACCUAUCGAUCUCUCCGUUUCAUCUGGUCCUGUUGUGCUCUAGCUGUUUGGAGCACUAUAGAAGUGUUGGGUGAGCUCACUGUUCAUUUGAGUCCAGAGGAGAAUGAGGUCUCUGUGGAGAACGCUCGAGAGGAGAAUGAAGACGCAGCUGCUUAGUUUCCCUAGGAAUUCCAUAGCUCCUAAUGUUAUUCAGAUAUUUUUUUUAGCUCCUAUAUUUUGAGAAACUUUAGU